UUCUCUUCCUUCUCUCUCUUUCCCGUAUACUCUCCCUCUCUGCAAACCCCUUGAACGAACCUUAAACUUCUCAGAACGAACCUAAAAACUACCCCAUUGUACUAAUCUCAAUCCCACGAUCACAACCAUGUCCUUGAACCUGAUUUAAACGAGUUUUGAUUCGUUAACUCGGAAGGUCCGAACUCGGCUGAACUGAGAUCAACGUGUUUUCAAACAAGUUAGGAUGUUUUAAAGCUUGGGAAGGCUUCUACACAACAUUCUAAGGGUCCUAGGCUUGUUUUGGAAGAAGGUCAACGUGAAACGACCGAGUUUCAAGGAGUUCACUUUUGGCCGGAACUUUCGAGGCAUUUUCCGACAACCUCCGUCCACUUUUUGGACUCCAAACAGAAAUCCGACGAAAAUUUAGUUGUAGACGGCGGCGACGGCGUGGACAAUCGGAGAAGGUGAUGGAAUAUUCCGUCAGAGUUGACAGAAUAUACCUGAAGGAUUCAGGGGAAACGUAUCCCAAGGACGUUCGAGGCCAAGCUAGGCUCAGAGGUUACGACCCAGUAACGUACUUAUAUCCGGACUCAGGUGAUCAUUGAGCGUGGUAUUAAGAGGAGGGGUUGUACUAUGUUGAUGAUGUUGCACAUGGCCGUGUUCAUCAAGUUCAAGGUUGUGACAAUGGAAAUUUGAAGACUGUUCAGUUAUGGCAAUGUCAAUUAGGUCAUGCCUCUUUUGGUUAUCUAUGAGUUUGAAUAAAAGAACCGCUUCUUUUAAGUUAAUUCA